rnacentral:rRNA from 1 species
UACGUAGGAGGCAAGCGUUGUCCGGAAUUACUGGGCGUAAAGCGCGUGUAGGCGGCCAGAUAAGUCCGCUGUGAAAUCUCGAGGCUCAACUUCGAGCUGUCGGUGGAAACUAUCUGGCUAGAGUCCGGAAGAGGAGAGUGGAAUUCCUGGUGUAGCGGUGAAAUGCGCAGAUAUCAGGAAGAACACCCGUGGCGAAGGCGGCUCUCUGGGACGGUACUGACGCUGAGACGCGAAAGCGUGGGGAGCAAACAGG